CAAAAGUUUGGUCCUGACUUUACUGUCAGCUUUAGCAUGAUUUACACAUGCAAGUAUCCGCAUCCCCGUGAGAAUGCCCUACAGUUUCCUGCUUGGAAACAAGGAGCUGGUAUCAGGCACACUUCUCCUUAGUAGCCCACAACACCUUGCUUAGCCACACCCUCAAGGGAUUUCAGCAGUGAUAAAUAUUAAGCUAUAAGUGAAAACUUGACUUAGUCAAUGCUAAAUAGGGCCGGUAAAACUCGUGCCAGCCACCGCGGUUAUACGAGAGACCCAAGUUGACAGACAAUCGGCGUAAAGAGUGGUUAAGUACAACAUAUCACUAAAGCCAAACACCUUCAAAGCUGUUAUACGCACCCGAAGGUCAGAAGCCCAAUCACGAAAGUGGCUUUAAACAAACUGAACCCACGAAAGCUAGGGCACAAACUGGGAUUAGAUACCCCACUAUGCCUAGCCUUAAACAUUGAUGAUAAAUUACAACUAUCAUCCGCCUGGGAACUACGAGCACCAGCUUAAAACCCAAAGGACUUGGCGGUGCUUUAGACCCACCUAGAGGAGCCUGUUCUAGAACCGAUAACCCCCGUUCAACCUCACCCUUCCUUGUUCCUCCCGCCUAUAUACCACCGUCGUCAGCUUACCCUGUGAAGGACUAAUAGUAAGCAAAACUGGCAAAGCCCAAAACGUCAGGUCGAGGUGUAGCGUAUGGAAGGGGAAGAAAUGGGCUACAUUCACUAACUCAGUGCACACGAAUGACACCCUGAAACGCGUGUCUGAAGGAGGAUUUAGCAGUAAGCAGAAAAUAGAGUGUUCUACUGAAACUGGCCCUGAAGCGCGCACACACCGCCCGUCACUCUCCCCGAGCUAAGACUCUCAAGUAAAUAAACAACUAUAACUGCAAAGGGGAGGCAAGUCGUAACAUGGUAAGUGUACCGGAAGGUGCACUUGGAAAAAC
rnacentral:ncRNA from 1 species